UACAGAGGUCCCAAGCGUUGUUCGGAUUUACUGGGCGUAAAGGGUGCGUAGGUGGUCGGGUAAGUCUCAUGUGAAAUCUCCAAGCUUAACUUGGAAAUGGCAUGGGAUACUAUUCGGCUAGAGGAUUGGAGGGGGACUGGAAUUCCCGGUGUAGCAGUGAAAUGCGUAGAUAUCGGGAGGAACACCAGUGGCGAAGGCGACUACCUGGCCUGUUCUUGACGCUGAGGCGCGAAAGCUAGGGGAGCAAACGGGG
rnacentral:rRNA from 1 species